rnacentral:rRNA from 1 species
AAUGAACGCUGGCGGCGCGCCUAAUACAUGCAAGUCGAGCGAGAAGACGUAGCAAUACGUUUGUAAAGCGGCGAACGGGUGAGGAAUACAUGGGUAACCUACCCUCGAGUGGGGAAUAACUAGCCGAAAGGUUAGCUAAUACCGCGUACGCUCCUUGGGCUUCGGUUCAGGGAGGAAAGCGAUACCGUGGGUAUCGCGCUCUUGAUUGGGCUCAUGUCCUAUCAGCUUGUUGGUGAGGUAACGGCUCACCAAGGCUUCGACGGGUAGCUGGUCUGAGAGGACGAUCAGCCACACUGGCACUGCGACACGGGCCAGACUCCUACGGGAGGCAGCAGUAAGGAAUAUUGCGCAAUGGGCGAAAGCCUGACGCAGCGACGCCGCGUGGGGGAUGAAGGUCUUCGGAUUGUAAACCCCUUUCGGGAGGGAAGAUGGAACGAGCAAUCGUUCGGACGGUACCUCCAGAAGCAGCCACGGCUAAC